GGACUCCUACGGGAGGCAGCAGUGGGGAAUAUUGCACAAUGGGCGCAAGCCUGAUGCAGCCAUGCCGCGUGUAUGAAGAAGGCCUUCGGGUUGUAAAGUACUUUCAGCAGUGAGGAAGGUGGGUAUGUUAAUAGCAUACUCAUUUGACGUUAGCUGCAGAAGAAGCACCGGCUAACUCCGUGCCAGCAGCCGCGGUAAUACGGAGGGUGCGAGCGUUAAUCGGAAUUACUGGGCGUAAAGCGCAUGCAGGUGGUUUGUUAAGUCAGAUGUGAAAGCCCGGGGCUCAACCUCGGAAUUGCAUUUGAAACUGGCAAACUAGAGUACUGUAGAGGGGGUAGAAUUUCAGGUGUAGCGGUGAAAUGCGUAGAGAUCUGAAGGAAUACCGGUGGCGAAGGCGGCCCCCUGGACAGAUACUGACACUCAGAUGCGAAAGCGUGGGGAGCAAACAGGAUUAGAUACCCUGGUAG
rnacentral:rRNA from 1 species